CACUUGCUUUCGGACGAGGAAGAGACGUAGUUGUCAGAGCGGCCAGAUGUGGGAGCGUCAGGCAGCAGCAUGGAGGAACACAGCACUUUCACGUCCCUCGGUCAGCCCCCCGUGUGCCCUGGUGAUGGCCGUUCUACUCUCCAUGCUGCUGGUACCCUCACUCUUCCUGACCCAGGACCAAUGGGAGAAACAUCUUCCAACCGUGGAACAGAACUCCAGUCUAAACAUGAAGUUUGACCCAAAGACGACAAAAUUAACUUGGGACUGCCAGGAAAACGCUACCUACGGGGAAUGUGUGUUGAUUCACAGGGAGAAGGGACAGAUUAAAAAAAAGGUCAAAGACAAGGAAUGUCAGUGCACCUUUCAGGACUGUUCUCUCCAUGGGGGAGUCACGCUCACUGUCGAAGUAAAUAUCAACCAAAGACGAAUUUCAGAAACACUGGUCUACCUGAACCCAGGUGGGGAGGGCACAGCUGCCCAAAACUUCUCCUGUCUUAUCUACAAUGCGGACUUCAUGAACUGCACCUGGGCCAAGGGCCAAGCAGCGCCCAAUGACGUUCAAUAUUUUUUGUAUAUAAGAGACUCAAAGAAAAAAAUCGAAAGAGAAUGUCCUCAUUACCUAAAAGACUCAGGAACCCACGUGGGAUGUCACCUCCAAGACCUCUCGGGAUUAACUUCGUACAGUUACUUCCUGGUUAACGGUACCAGCCAAGAAGCAGGAAUCCAGUUCUUCGAUUCGGUUUUGCUGUUAAAAGAAAUAGAGCAAUACAACCCACCCAACAAUAUCACCGUGCACUGCAACGAAUCACACUGCUUCAUCCGGUGGGAAAAGCCCAGGACCCGAAAAACAUUGUCCAUCAGGGAGUUCCAGUACCAGCUGGACAUCCAGAGACAGAGUAAUACCGGAAGCAGUGGAAAUCAACUGAUUGUGGUGUCUGGUGACUCGGGGAAUAAAUACAGCUUUCCGAGACCGGGGUUCAGAGCCAAACAUACUGUGAAGAUCAGGACGGCAGAUGCCCGGAAAGCCCACUGGGGUGCCUGGAGUCAGCCAACUGAGUUUGGCUCUGCGGAACCAGAAUCCAGCCUGGUGCACGUCUACCUGCUGGUGGUCCUGGGGACCUUCGUCUGUGGCCUGACCAUCAGCUGCCUUUUCAAAAGGUUCCUAGGGAUGAACAGGUUAUUCCCGCCAAUUCCACGGAUCAAAGAUAAAUUGAGCGAUAGCCAUCAAAUCGACCACCAGCAGAUCCUCUGGGAGAAAUUUGCACAUGACGCGGGAAAAGGUGACAAGGAAGAGGUCUUAGCCGUGGAAGAAGUCACAGAAGCCCCAGCGAAUGCGUGAGCUCCAGGUGUCUGCAUCCCCGGCACUUUCUGGAAGUCGUUGGGUUUUUUUUACAAUUUCUUUUAAUGUUUUUUCAAUGUUUUGCUUAAUUGUUGUGAAUGUAGCUUUUUUAAAUUGUUUUGAGCAUUUUUCUACCUUUCUGUUCUGUUUUGUUUUGGUUUUUUACUCUGAAAACUAAUGUGAUGUUUUGCAAAGAUGCUUUGUAGUUGGAGGGAUGUUUCGAGGCCCGUGGACCCUGACCACGUAAUGCGCCUUCCAGCCGCUCCAGGGAAACACCACCCCUUCCUCACAGGGAGGGGUCGGAGCUGCUGCUGGCCGCUGGGGCUGGGAUGAGGGUCUGUGCCGCCGCCCGCCUCCACUGGCAGAAAAUUGACAUCCUCCUUCUUUCUCUACUGGCUGCAGUUCAGAAAGGAAUGACUUUCCAGUGGCUGCUGUAACAGGACCACAAUUGCCGAGUCGACACAGCGGACGCCUACUCAUUAUAGCUUGAUCACGGGGUACCAAGGGGCCCUGGAAGGCGGAGACAGAAGAAAAGUCCCGCCCCAGCGGAGCGCUCCUCCUGCUGAGGCAGCCGACCAUUGGACAGCAGGGAAGGACGUGGACGGCGUGUGAGUGACGUGAUCCGGGGCAGAGGACUCGGAAGCACCUCGUAGUUGACGGGCAGCCUCUCUAAGCGAGACCCCGUUUUCCAAAGAGGAGGUGAUAAAAAUGAGUAGCGAAUGCCCGAUUCUGCCGUGAUGGGAGAGCACACCGCCCGCAUGCGUGUGAAGCGCGUGUCCUAUAAAAUCUGGAGUGAAUGGAGCUCCACGCAGCACUUCGGCUACUGGGACUCCAAUUGGUCCAGAAAGAAAUAUGGUCCCAACUCGCCAAGGCCUACCAACCGGGAACACCGGGAGAAACUCAUCCUUUCCAAGUCGGAGACUCCGUAUACGUCCGUCGGCAUCGAACCCAGACGUUGGAACCUCGAUGGAAAGGACCAUACACCGUCCUCCUCACCACCCCAACGGCCAUAAAAGUGGACGGCAUCGCUGCCUGGAUCCAUGCUUCACAUGUGAAGGCUGCACCAGCGACGGCAUCAUCAGGAUGGCGGGCCCAAAGAACCGACAACCCGCUCAAACUCAAGCUUCUACGAAGCUAAGACUUAUAAUUUUGGUUUUACUGCCUUUACUGACUGUAAGUGAUUUUAGCCCUCACCUCCCCCAACGUUUAAAUUGGCAGGUAAUUUCUCAGACUGGAGAUGUAACCUGGUCCAUUAGUCAUACUGCACCCCCCUGGACCUGGUGGCCAGAUCUUUUUCCUGAUGUUUGUAAAUUGGCUAUAGGAGCACCUUAUUGGGAUACAGAAGAUUCUCAUGAUAUGAACACUGCCCCUUCCAAAGUUUCGGAAACUGAUUGAUUUGGGCCGGGUUGCAAAAAUGCAGGCAAAAGAAUGAUGCUUGGUAUCCUCACUUUCUACGUAUGCCCCGGGUUCCACCGCCCUUGAUCUCUGAAUUAUAAAUGUGGUGGAACUGAAAACUUUUAUUGCAAAAGCUGGGGAUGUGAAACUACCGGGGAUACUAAUUGGAAACCCACCUCAACUUGGGAUUUUAUUACUGUAACGGCUAAUUAUUCUCAUAAUGAGGAUACCGGACACCGGAGUAAAUGUUCAGGAUGGUGUCAUCCCCUUAAAAUUUCCUUUAGUAAUCCCGGAAAAAGAGAUAAAAAAUGGAUAAAUGGUCAUUCUUGGGGCGUUAGAUUUUACAUGAGGGGAUAUGAUUUAGGAAUAUUAAUGACCCUUAAGCUAAAGAUUGAGACUCCUGCUCCUAUAUCAAUAGGCCCAAAUCCCAUACUUGGCCCCCCUUUGCUUCCCCCGGCCCCUUCAACUACGUCAACAAAGAAUGAGGCUAAUGAAACCUCUGGAUCCAAAGAACCCACAGUUAAGCCUGGGACUCCUCAGGAUAGGAUGCUUUCUUUGGUGCAGGCAGCCUUUACGGUUCUCAAUGCUACAAACCCAGAGGCUACAAAAUCAUGUUGGCUUUGCUAUGCUGCCCCUCCCCCUUAUUAUGAUGCUAUAGGAUAUAGCUCCAACUAUACUAAUUCUACUUCCUCAGACCAAUGUCGAUGGAAGCAAGAAGGGAACAGUAAAUUAACCCUGUCCUCGGUUUUUGGAAAUGGUACUUGUAUAGGAACACCUCCCCAGUCCCAUAGACACCUUUGUCAUGAUUUUAGCCUCCCUUCAGGCUCAGGAUAUCUUGUACCUCCUCAAGAUGGAUGGUGGACAUGUAACACGGGGCUCACCCCUUAUGUCUCUUUAGAGGUUCUUAAUACUUCAGCUGACUUUUGUGUGUUAGUGCAAUUAGUCCCUAGACUUAUCUACCAUUCAGACUCAUCCUUUUUAGAUGAAUAUGUAGGAAAAACAAAAAACAAAAGAGAACCUGUAACCCUCACAUUGGCUGUCCUUCUAGGACUAGGAAUAUCUGCCGGGAUAGGAACAGGAACCACAGCCCUCAUACAACAACCCCAGUAUUAUGCAAGUUUAAGAUAGGCUGUAGACAUCGACCUUCGAGCAUUAGAAAGUUCCAUAACUCAACUAAAGGAAUCACUCACCUCACUUUCAGAAAUGGUGUUGCAGCCUAGAUUUGCUGUUUCUUAAGGAAGGGGGAUUAUGCGCCGCUCUAAAAGAAGAAUGUUGCUUUUAUAUUGAUCAUUCAGGAACCAUCACCAAAACCAUGGAUAAACUAAGGGAACGCUUAGAUAAAAGGCAAAGGGAGAGAGAGAACGAAAAAGGAUGGUUUCAAUCAUGGUUUGAUAAGUCCCCCUGGUUUACCACCUUAAUCUCUACUCUGUUGGGACCUCUUAUUGUUUUAUUGUUGAUUUUAACUUUUGGACCAUGUGUUCUAAAUCGCUUGAUAGCAUUUAUUAGAGAACGUAUCAGUACUGUACAAGUUCUAAUGUUAAGACAACAGUACCAAAGUUUACGAACAGAAGGUUGAGAUUCCAUGAUUGGAAUCAAUAGUCACAAGAAAAAGGGGGGAAUGUGGGACUCGAGGGACAUUGUUCCAGCUAAUGAUUAAGAACUCUCCAGACAAUAGGGGCUUCUUAGACAAUGGGUGAAUUUCCAGGAUGUCCGGCCCCCUUCCGAGAAGGAGGGGAGAUAACAAAAUGUAAAAAAGGUGUCUGUCAAAGACCAAUCAGACAGCUGGGGAGAAGGAGGGAGAUAACAAAAUGUAAAAAAGGUGUCUGUUAAAGACCAAUCAGGCAGCUGGGGACAAGUUCCCUCUCUGGUCCGAGCCUAAGCCGGGACCAAUCAGCAGGAGAACACAACCAAAUCUAUAAUUUACAUACGGGGAAGUGGGAACCUAUAAAACUGACAUAUUCGCGCCCAAAAGGGUUCCUUCUUCGACCUCCUGCGUGAGGACCAAGGAACCCCGGUGCACCGGCCUUCAAUAAACCUCUUGCGUUUUGCAUCGA